GCCUCAACACAACAAAACGGGAUUUUACCACCUACGUGUCGUCAACGCUAAAGGCAUGCGCACUACCCCCUUACUCCCCACCCCUGCUCCUAUCCAAUCCUUGAACACACAUAAAUCACACACAUUCACACUUUGAUUCAGAAGGCCCGACUGUUAUUAUUGAGUUUGGGGGCUUUUGGUGUAAAUCAAACGACUCUUGUUUCGUUGAUUCUGCGACUUUCUUUUCUUUGUUUUUUGGUUUGAGUCAAUCGAACUGUAUCGUCUCUUAUCAGAAUUCUAGAUAAUUUAAGAAUUUAAGAAUUACAAUUCUUAAAUUCUCUCUGUUGUCAACAUUUGCCGCGAAUCGCCGUGGCUCGAGCAACACCAGCAACCGCCGCCAGUUGCACCUCCGCCCCGGUGGUUCUCAGCUGUUGCUCCCCCAUUUUCUUCUUCUAUUUUGUUCAUUUUCUUUACUUAUUCUAUUUCAAUCCUAAUUCUAAUUCUUCCCUAACUAUUUCCCUAUUUCAGGAAUUGACCGAUCGUCGAUUCGAGGGUGAGAAGACAUAUCAGGUAUGUCAAAUUUGAAAUUUAUUGAAUGUGCGAGUGCUAGAGUUGUAUCUCUUAUCUUCAAUGCACAUUGGGAGGUUCUUUGUGGAGUAAGCACCUCUCUUUUCAGUUUUCUACUUGAUGAUUUUGGUGUUAUUGUGGAUAUGAUUUGAUUAGUUCGUAUUUUGUUUCAAUCUGAAAAGUUACAAGAUUAUAUGGGUGUUAUGUUUAUGGAGAUCAGUUACAUUGUUUUAGCUCGUAAGAAUAAGUUGAGCUGCAAAAUUCUUGAUCUAUAAGGGCAUUUACUUUAGGUGAUUUAUGUAAUUGACCCUGGUCAGAAGCAUUACGUGUGCGUGGUUGAUCUUCUUGGUCAUACUCUUUCAAUAGGUGAAGCUGAAUCCUUCACUUGCAGUUGCUUGGUUAAGCUUAGGUAACUGCAUAUGGAUGAAAGGUGAUCUAGUUUCAGCAAAGAAUCGUUUUAACUAUGCCAUUAUAAGGAUCUUUCUUCUGCUUCAUUCUCUUUCAAGUGUUUGAUGAGUAGAUAUCAGCAGCAUAAUUAUCGGUUUUUGUCAAGCGUUACAGCUGUUGGUGUCUCGGUUUCCCCCUCCCCCGAGACAGCCUCUGCUAAUAGAGAACAUUGUUGCUUCUUCUGGUCAUGCUAAUCCGAAUGUUUUGCGAGAACUCGAUGGCUGGCAAGAAUCAUCGGAAGCUGUUGAAGUUGAUGGUGAGAAUUCAAUGCUGAAAAAAACCGAAUCUUCCUCUUAUAAGUUUAUAACGUCUCUAAUGGUAAUAGAAGCCGACAAGUAAAUGAUGAUGACUCUUAUAUCCCUACGAAAGUUUGGAGCAUUUGCUACCUGGCACUCUUAUUGCUUCACCUACAAAUCCAGCUACGGGGCAUUAAUUUGCAUUCUCGUGGCUUCAUCAGAAGACGACAAUCCUCUAUUUCGUACAUCCUCUAUCUAUGCGCUCAAAUGAUAAGAUUUCAUUCCAUGUUUUUGCAGGAUGGAAGUUUGGAUGGAUGGAUGGAUUACUUUUGACUAAAAGCUGCUUCAGAGUACCAUUUUUUGUUGAAGAUUGUAAAUGACGGUUAAAUAUUUAUAUAAAAUAUACUCCCUUC